UGAAUAUGAUGCUUGGGGUACCUGAAAAUGAUGAUUCAAAUGAGUACGGUGUUGAUUCUUUGAUCUGGAGAUGGCUGAAAUUAUUUUUGAAGAAGAGAUACGAAUGGGAUGUUGGCAGCCUGAACUACAAAGAUAUGAGGAAAUUUGCUAUCCUCCGUGGUUUAUGCCAUAAGGUGGGAAUUGAACUGGUUCCAAGAGAUUAUGAUAUGAGUUCAGCAAGUCCUUUUCAGAAAGUAGACAUUGUCAGCCUAGUACCAGUGCAUAAGCAAGCUGCUUGCUCUUCUGCAGACGGAAGACAGCUUUUGGAAUCAUCCAAAACAGCUCUGGAUAAGGGAAAACUUGAAG
rnacentral:misc_RNA from 1 species